ensembl:lncRNA
AGGGGGGGGGGAAACGGGGGGUGUUGGUUUAUUUAUGGCGCUUUGUUCUGCGGCGCUGCUGUUGGGGAUGCGGUGGUGCAGGGAGAGACUUCAGCUUGGAGGGGAGGGUUUGGGGGUGGGGAUGUCCGAAAUGCUGGGGGUGAGCGGCUCCUGGGGGGGGUUCCACGUGGGAUAACAGCAAAAGCAAAGGGCCGGGCCGGGCUGGGCCAGCAGUGAGGCCAAAACGCACCGCUGUGCGCCCCGAAAUCCGCUGCUGGGUGUGCAAAGCGUUGGCGGUGCGUCUUUGCAGAGGGGCAGCUCCCACCACGGCCGUCCAAUUCCGCCUCUUUGGCAGUGGAUUCCCCGGGGUGCACUGCAUCUGUGCGCAGCCACGCCGUGUGUGCGUUGCACAGAGACACCGGCCCUUGGCGUGCUGCUGUGUGUGCAAGGGCGGGCGGUGACGUGCAAUGGUCUGCAAGGACGUGCAAAGGUGUGCAAGGGUGUGUGAUUUGCAAGGAGGUGAGAAGGUAUGCAAGGAUGUGUGAGGGCAGACAACGGUGUGCAGUGGUGUGCAAAGGUGAGCAGGGGUUUGCAAGGAUGUGCAAAGGUGUGCAAGGAUGUGCAAAGGUGUGCAAGGGUGUGUGAUUUGCAAGGAGGUGCAAAGGUGUGCAAGGAUGUGUGAGGGCAGACAAUGGUGUGCAAUGGUGUGCAAAGGUGAGUAGGGGUUUGCAAGGAUGUGCAAAGGUGUGCAAGGGUGUGUGAUGUGCAAGGAGGUGAAAGGGUGUGCAAGGAUGUGUGAGGGCAGACAACGGUGUGCAGUGGUGUGCAAAGGAGAGUAGGGGUGAGUAAGGGUUUGCAAGGAUGUGCAAAGGUGUGCAAGGG